UACGGGGGGGGCAAGCGUUGUUCGGAAUUACUGGGCGUAAAGGGCUCGUAGGCGGCCAACUAAGUCAGACGUGAAAUCCCUCGGCUUAACCGGGGAACUGCGUCUGAUACUGGAUGGCUUGAGGGUAGGAGAGGGAUGCGGAAUUCCAGGUGUAGCGGUGAAAUGCGUAGAUAUCUGGAGGAACACCGGUGGCGAAGGCGGCAUCCUGGACUACUACUGACGCUGAGGAGCGAAAGCCAGGGGAGCAAACGGG
rnacentral:rRNA from 1 species